rnacentral:lncRNA from 1 species
CAUCGGCUUCUAGGCAACCCUGCAGUGGUAGUAGUGGUGACAGCAGCAGCGGCAAUGAUGGAAGCCUGCAGGAGCCAAGAGUGUAAGAAAUGGAAACCGCUUUCUCUAUUUUCUCUGGAGCUAUAGAUUCAGACGAAAGAAGUUGGAAGAGGAAACAUUAGGAAUUUCCUUUCAAACUCCAAUCAAAACAGCCCAUUUGAAUAUUUUUUUAAAAAAAUUCCAAAAAUUCUUCCUGUGAGGAUGCAUUGGCUAAAGCAGGUCAAAGUUGCUGAAGAGGACUAAGCGAGCCUCUUGGGGAAGAUGAUAUCAUCUGAUCUGUACACAUGUCACAUUCAGAACAUUCUGCAUGGCUGCUGCUGAGCUCCCAUCUGUCAGAUCUCAACAGAGAGAACAAAGACUAGAGAUGUGAGUAAUUCAAGAAACA